GAUCUUGAGUCGCAAGAGACCAGGUUUGAACUAAGACUGUAGCAUCAAGACUAGGAGAGGCUUGGGCACAACAGCAGGGGAGUAUUUCAUUGGAGUGCAGGAAACCCUGGGUUCCAUCCACAGGACUGGUCUUUUGCCAACUGAGCACUGCAGAGAAGUGGCCACCUCUGUGGCUGCCCAGAAGAGGGUGUGCUGUGGGACACCUGGCUGAAGCAGACCUUAGCAGGAAUGGUGAUGAGCCCCAGAUCCUCACACUCAGCGUGCCUGAGGACAGAGAAAGGCCACUUCCUCCCUGAGUGUCUAUCAUCAUAUGACUGUUGCCCCCAGGAUGCUGACCUCUGAGCACAUGACCUGAGCCCUUCCUGCAGAUUUCAUGCCAGUCAGCAACUUCCUUCCCUUUCCGGAAGCUACUCUUGCUGCCCUUACACUGGGAGGGUCAGCUCCCCAACCUUUAUCCUGAUCCUCAGGAAGGCAGCCCCUUCCUCGUCUUGCCCCCAGAUGACCAUGCCACAUGUACUGAACUGAGUCUCCCUAUAGUGAUUCCCACCUAUAUGCUCUGCCUGCCUGGCCCUUGACCCAGGCUCUUCCUGCCUUAGUGGCCUGGUUUGUCAGGUCCUGCCCCUGACGAGACCACUGCAGACAUCUGCUUCCAACUAGGAAAUGCCCCCAAAGAUAUUCCAAAGGGUGCAGAAAGGAAUCCUGGCCCUGUCGCCUAUGGGUCUGUGAUCAUUGAUAUUGACUGUCAAUGUGACAGAGACUAGAAUCACACAGAAGUCACAGCUCUGUGAAUGUCUGUGAGGGAUUUUCUAGACUGGAUUAAUUGGGAUGGGGUAGCACUCUAAAUAUGAGUGCUACCAUUCCAUGGUCCAGGGUCCCAGACUGAAUAAACAUAGGAAAGCAAGCUGA